rnacentral:rRNA from 1 species
CCUACGGGAGGCAGCAGUGAGGAAUCUUGGUCAAUGGGAGAGAUCCUGAACCAGCCAAGCCGCGUGAGGGAAGACGGCCCUAUGGGUUGUAAACCUCUUUUGUCGGAGAACAAAACCCGGGACGUGUCCCGGACUGCGUGUAUCCGAAGAAAAAGCAUCGGCUAACUCCGUGCCAGCAGCCGCGGUAAUACGGGGGAUGCGAGCGUUAUCCGGAUUUAUUGGGUGUAAAGGGUGCGUAGGCGGUCCGUUAAGUCAGCGGGAAAAUUGCGGGGCUCAACCCCGUCGAGCCGUUGAAACUGGGAGACUUGAGUUGGCGAGAAGUACGCGGAAUGCGCGGUGUAGCGGUGAAAUGCAUAGAUAUCGCGCAGAACUCCGAUUGCGAAGGCAGCGUACCGGCGCCAGACUGACGCUGAGGCACGAAAGCGUGGGGAUCGAACAGGAUUAGAUACCCGAGUAGUC